GGUUGUGGCUCAGUGGCAGAGUGCUUGCCUAGCAUGUGUGAGGCACUGGGUUCAAUCCUCAGCACCA
rnacentral:tRNA from 1 species